rnacentral:rRNA from 1 species
AUGAACGCUGGCGGCGUGCCUAAUACAUGCCAGUCGAGCGAACGGACGAGAAGCUUGCUUCUCUGAUGUUAGCGGCGGACGGGUGAGUAACACGUGGAUAACCUACCUAUAAGACUGGGAUAACUUCGGGAAACCGGAGCUAAUAUCGGAUAAUAUUUUGAACCGCAUGGUUCAAAAGUGAAAGACGGUCUUGCUGUCACUUAUAGAUGGAUCCGCGCUGCAUUAGCUAGUUGGUAAGGUAACGGCUUACCAAGGCAACGAUGCAUAGCCGACCUGAGAGGGUGAUCGGCCACACUGGAACUGAGACACGGUCCAGACUCCUACGGGAGGCAGCAGUAGGGAAUCUUCCGCAAUGGGCGAAAGCCUGACGGAGCAACGCCGCGUGAGUGAUGAAGGUCUUCGGAUCGUAAAACUCUGUUAUUAGGGAAGAACAUAUGUGUAAGUAACUGUGCACAUCUUGACGGUACCUAAUCAGAAAGCCACGGCUAACUACGUG